GGGCGUGUGGCUCAGUUGGUAGAGCGUUCGCUUAGCAUGCGAAAGGUCCUGGGUUCGAUUCCCAGCCCGUCCA
rnacentral:tRNA from 2 species